GUCGUACAGGUCUCCGUAGGUGAACCUGCGGAGGGAUCAUUACACAAAUAUGAAGGCGGGCUGGAACCUCUCGGGGUUACAGCCUUGCUGAAUUAUUCACCCUUGUCUUUUGCGUACUUCUUGUUUCCUUGGUGGGUUCGCCCACCACUAGGACAAACAUAAACCUUUUGUAAUUGCAAUCAGCGUCAGUAACAAAUUAAUAAUUACAACUUUCAACAACGGAUCUCAUGGUUCUGGCAUCGAUGAAGAACGCAGCGAAAUGCGAUAAGUAGUGUGAAUUGCAGAAUUCAGUGAAUCAUCGAAUCUUUGAACGCACAUUGCGCCCUUUGGUAUUCCAAAGGGCAUGCCUGUUCGAGCGUCAUUUGUACCCUCAAGCUUUGCUUGGUGUUGGGCGUCUUGUCUCUAGCUUUGCUGGAGACUCGCCUUAAAGUAAUUGGCAGCCGGCCUACUGGUUUCGGAGCGCAGCACAAGUCGCACUCUCUAUCAGCAAAGGUCUAGUAUCCAUUAAGCCUUUUUUUCAACUUUUGACCUCGGAUCAGGUAGGGAUACCCGCUGAACUUAAGCAUAUC
rnacentral:rRNA from 1 species